rnacentral:rRNA from 1 species
GUAGGUGGCAAGCGUUGUCCGGAAUUAUUGGGCGUAAAGCGCGCGCAGGCGGGUUCUUUAAGUCUGAUGUGAAAGCCCACGGGCUCAACCGUGGAGGGUCAUUGGAAACUGGAGAACUUGAGUACAGAAGAGGAAAGCGGAAUUCCACGUGUAGCGGUGAAAUGCGUAGAGAUGUGGAGGAACACCAGUGGCGAAGGCGGCUUUCUGGUCUGUAACUGACGCUGAGGCGCGAAAGCGUGGGGAGCAAACAGGAUUAGAUACCCUGGUAGUCCACGCCGUAAACGGUGAGUGCUAAGUGUUAGGGGGUUUCCGCCCCUUAGUGCUGCAGCUAACGCAUUAAGCACUCCGCCUGGGGAGUACGGCCGCAAAGGCUA